rnacentral:lncRNA from 1 species
CAGGGAAGGGGCUCUCCUCUCGCCGCCGACGGGCACCCUCUUCGCCGCCCCCUUUGGUGUGGAGGCUGCAGCAGUAGCGAGCGGCAGGCUCUGGGGGGAGCCUGCGGGAUUGGGGGGUGGGGACCCAGAAUUUGCAGGUUCGGGUCCCAGAAGGAUCCAGUGUCCGGAGCCCGAGGACCGGCCCGAGGCCCCUCCCACUCCGUCAGGUCUUUGUCCGGCGGCCCCUGUGUGUGAGGGAGGGGGGUGGGGGCUGGGUUCCAGGCCCGGAGAUUCCCCAGCAUCGUGACGGGGCAGUGACAGGAGACCGAGGCCACUUGGGGCCCUGCGUCUCACGCCCACCCGCUGCCUUUCUUCUCUUCUGGCCCGGGAGAGCAUAGCCCCCAUCUCCGAGUAAGGGAAGCCGCACUUACCUUUACCCCUGGGCUACAGGCUGCUUGGGAGACCCUCUGGCUCUCUCCCUAGAGCCCUUUAAACUUCCCCACUCCGAGAGCCCUCUCUUGAUCUACACAGAGAUUCCCUUACUAAGGACCCCGCUCUGUAGAGGGUCCUCCGCUAGGGUUGGGCACACAGUAGGUGCGCAGGAAAUGUAGGCCUCCUCCUCGGGCCCCUCCAGUCCCGGUGGCCUCUUGGGCGGAGGAGGCCUGGGAAGGGGUCUGCGCGGGGGCGAGUGUAAGCGGCCUGGAGCCUGCGCCCAGCGGCAGCCAGGAGCCCAGAGCGGAGGGGUGGGUGGGCUGUUAAAGGGACGGUCACUAAAUCAGGAUUAGGCCGUGGGGCUGUCAGGCUGCCAGGCCCUGUCUCCAUGGAUACCUAAUUUGGAGGAGAAUAGAGGACGGAAGAAUGUUUGCGUUGUCGUCCGCCAGGGCUGCAGAGGCUAAGCGGACUCCAGCCCUCGGCCUGGCAGCAAGGAAUGGGGACCCGGUUCGAACCCCACUCUGGGCUGCGGCAGGGCGGGAGAACUUUUCGGUCUGGGGGCCCAGAGCCUUCCCUGAGGAGUUGCUGUAGUGGGCCAGGCGGUGCGGUGGUCCAAAGAACUCUGACCGUGCACAGGGAGCCCCAGACCCUCCCCGAGUCCAACCUGAACCCCGGUGCAUCCUCCUGGGAAAGGCCGGGCUGGGGUUCCUCAGAGCCCCCCUCCCGGAGCUCCUAGCCGGGAGCAAACACCGUCCUCCGCUGCUCCGUAGGCGGGGAGGACGGACGCGCUGGGCGGCUCGAGGUUGAGCGCGGCGGGACCUAGGCGCGCGCGGGUACCCGACGGCCGCCCGAGCCGCGGGGCAGGGGGCGGGGCGGACUUCCUGGGGUGGGCGACAAAGGGGCGGGGCUUGCCUGCCGGCCUCGCUCCGCCGGGUGACAGGCCUCGUAAAUCCCCCUCUCCCAUAUUUAACGCCAUUUCAUUUAUUUCCACUCGAUUCCUUGGGAGUCCGCAGCAACCACCGCUGUUAAGGAGCGACCCUUGUGCCCUCCCUGUAAUGUCUUCUUGAGGAAAGUCCUCUUGGGCCAAAGGGAAUUAGCUCUGUGGGGACAGUGGAGUGGCUCCUGGGGGAGGCCCAGUGACCUCCACUUUUCAAGGGGACCCCCAUCUCCUCAGGGGAAGAGGAGGGCUGAGAGACACAUGGAUACGUUUGGUCUCCGAGGGCCUGGCCAUGGCCUAAGGGUGGGCUGGGCUGAGGAUGGGGUGAGUGGACAAGUCCAGUGCUCCGCCUGGAACGGGGCAGGAGAGGGACCCGACCCAAGUGUAGUGUUCUCAGAGCCUUGCUCUCCGUCAUCCAUGGCCGCAGCUUUUUAUGGAGCAAGAAUCCCCUCCCCUCCCCUGCCUGGGCUCCCGCUUUAUUGAAGAGACCUCAGACUCUCCACGCAAUUUCACGCCUCUCUGCCUUUGCUCUUGCUGUUCCCUCAGCCAAAUGCCUUCCCAUUGUCCCUGUCC